GUUUGGAACCUGAGCUAAGUCGCCCCGCUAGGCCCACAAGCAGCCUGCCGGUUCUCCGCAGCAGGAUCUGGCCGAGAGGCAGAGGUUGCUAACACUGUGGCGGGGCGCGCCCCGCAGCUCCCUGGAUGCAACAAGGAGCACAAUGACGUCUCUUCUUCCAAUGGAAAUUAUUCUUCAAGGAAUUUUCAUUUUUCAACAUUAUUUCUCCACAUGUUUCCUGGCUUCUCUUCAGAGCUCCUGACAUUCAUGCUGCUAGAUUCCUCCUGACCAGGUAAAGAUUUAUUUGACCUGUCUUCCACGCCCAAUACUAUCCUUUGAUUCAGGUAAGAGAGUUCUCUACAGUUGACCUAAGCUUUAGAGGGCUCCACUCUGGUCUUCCCAUGUAUGCCCUUUUUCCCAUCAGUUGAAGACUCUGUGGGAUCAAGGAGAUUUGCUUCCAGUUUGCCAUUUUCUUGUCCUCUGACCAUACUCUAGGUACCUUGCGCUAUAGAAUAUUCUGCUCAAAUGGUCAUAAGUUCUCUUCUCCUGAAGUUGAACCUCUAAAUUCAGUGGCCAGAGGAAAGUGUGGGUGUGGGUAAAGCUUGAAAAUGUGGUCUGGAACAUCCACAUAUGCGUAGCAAAGAAACAUUAUGGUGUGGUAGAGAGGGAAGUUAUGGAGAAGAAGUGGGUAUGGGAACUUGUGUGGGGGAAGGUUGAGAGCUGGAGACUAAAGCCAGGGUCUGACUCAGCAGACAACUGCUAUAUUCUCAGCAGGAACUCAGAGAUCCAACAAUUCUAAAUUCAGACCUGGCCUACCUCUUGUUAUGAAGAUGUACUUGGCAAAGUAAAAGGACAGAGCGUAUUUUACUUAACACUGAUUUUUAAUUUUUAAAUAUUUUGACAUAUAGUGCUUGCUUUGUCUGUUGUGGAUUGUGUACUUACAGAGAGAAAAGAACCUCGUUACCCUGUUUGCUGCUUUUCCUAGGUUAUGGUCCAUGCCGUAUAGUGAAGAUUUGCCUUAAAAAAAUUUAAACAAGUAAAACGUUCUGGAUUGGAAGUUAGAAAGACCAAGUUUCUGUUGUUAGUCGCUUCUAAAUUGCUAUUGGCCUUUAUACAAAUUAUUUGGUCUCUUGGCCAGUUGUAAUAUGUGAGAGUUUGAAUUUGAUUAUUGCUGAGGUAUAUUCCAGAUGUAAAGCUCAUUUACAAAGUUUUCAUUAACAUAAACUGAUGUGUAUUUAAAAAUAACAAUGAGAAAUAAAAGGUAGAGCAGAAAUACAUAAUUAUUGUAGCUAAGAGCAAAAGCAAUCAAAUUUAACACGCCAAUCCUUGCAGUACUCUGUACAUCUCCGCUACACCACUUAGCUUCUAAUUAUUUCUCUGAAGAAUCCCAGGAAGGAUGGUGCACCAUGCUUAGUAGUCUCAUUUUAUAGACGAAGAUGAUGAGCAAGAGAAGAUUGGCUGUUAGCACCUUACCAGAAGAACAAAGGCUGGGUUUUCUGUAAAAACUUGGCUCUCCUAGGGACCCAUUGCAGACUGUGAACUGAAUUACUCCUCAUAGCUGGGACACGAGAGCUUGCAAGGGUGGGCUCUCCAUGAUGCUUUCUUUGCUUGUCCUUGCAUGAGUCACUUUGGAAGACUGUUUGCCCAAAAGCCAAAGAAAUAUAAAUGGCAUCAUCAUCUUAAAAAAGACAUGCUCAAUACUUUUUCUCUGUUCUACUCAGCUACAUGUUAACAUCUCCAUUUGUCUUUUACUUGCUUGUUCCAAGAGAUACACACCUUUAAUAUGUUAGGUGUCUACAAUCAGCAGCUUAUAUAUUUCUUGGUGCAGUCAAUUUCCCUUUUAGUUAAGUUGAUUUCUCCAUUAACUGUUCCAGACCAGAAAUAAAUAAUAAUUUAUUUUAUAGAAACACAAAGUUUUCUACUUUCAGCAAGGUGUCCAGGAUUAAUUUCCUUAGACCUAAACUACUCUUCAUCCUAUUUAUAGUCUUUUUUUUUCUUUUUUUGUGUGUUAAAAUUGUCAAAACACAAAAUGCCAGAAUAUUACUGAGUUCUGACAAUGACUGGUGUUACAUAUUUAAUGUGUUGAAAUUCAUAAGAAAUAUUUAUGAAUAUUUCUGAAUUGUCAAUUCAUUUUAAUUUCUCAUAAAUCUAUGUAUAGUCAUCUUAAACUAUUGCUAUCUUGAUAAAUUUGUAAUGCUGAGAAAGGAGGGUUUUUUUUUUAUUUUUUUAAGUUUAUUUUGAGAGAGAGAAGGAGAGAGAGUGUGAGCAGGGAGGAGGCAGAGCAGACGGGGCGGGAGAGAGAGAAUCCCAAGCAGGCUUCAUACUGUCGGUGCAGACCCUGACACAAGGCUCUAUCCCACAAACUGUGAGAUCAUGACCUAGGCUGAAAUCAAGAGUCAGAUACUUAACCAACUGAGCCACCCAGGUGCCCCUUAAGAGUUUUCAAUCCAGAUUUACACUUGAUUCUUAGCUGAGUGAAAGAAUGUUGCAUAAAGAUACAUUUGAAAUCUUCAAGUAUGUUCAAGUAAAUAAAUAUUUCAAUCAAAUAAUAGAUACUGAAUUUUUACUAUAUAAAAUGUUAGCUAAACUGCAAAUAUGCACAAGCCAUAGCCUUAAAUUUAUGGAACUCCAAUAGAAAGUGCCUGACAGCCAUAUGAAUUAUCAUUUUUUUCCAAAGUUUAGAUACUGAUUAACAUGAUUUUCUAAACUAAUAACUGAAUACCCUUUAAUAUUUAUAUCUAUAAGAUUUCUCAUUUAAAUACAGUUACAAAUCAUUUAUACAAGAGAGCCAGAGAGGUAGAACAGAGAAAUAUUUAUUUAUAGGAAAAUAAAAAUUUAGAAUUCGAAGAGAGGAAUACUUAACAGUGAACAGAAGUGGCUAUAAAGGUUUUUUAAAUUUUUUUUGUUUUUUACUUUUUGCCUUGAACUAUCAGUGUCUAUAUUCAUCGGCUUAUUUUCAAUUAGUUAAUUGCAUGAUUACAUUAUCCAAAUGAGCCAUUUUUACUUUUUUUUUUCUUUUUAAUUGACGCUUAAAGGCUUUUUAUCAUUCCCUCUUUGAAUUCUCCUCAAAUGUUAAAAGCAAACUUGUGGGACCAAAGUACUGUGUAAGUUUUUGUACUUUAUGUAAUUCUGAGAUAUUCUGGUGGCAGUGAAGGGAAAUUUGAAACACUCUUCUUCUCCUUCCAAUUUUAUCUCUUAUUCAGCAUAUCAGCUUCUCAAGACAUUACUUUUUUGCAUCAUUUGCUUUUAAAUGAAAUAGAUGUGAUAGUGAUUAAGGUUGGGGGUUGAAGUGGAAAGUAGAAGUUUAUGAUAAUCCCUUCUGCUGGGACUCUAUACUUAUAAAUAAGCUAACAAAUUGACUUCUUUGCCUAAUUAAAUUUUAAAAAUGAUAAACAAGCAGAAAUCUUACUGUAGCCAUAUACAUUGAAAUGUUACUUUUUUAUCUUUUGGAUGAUUUGGAUUUUUUGGUGAAAGGAAUUUCAGAUGAGUGAGAAAGGGUCACUCAAUACUAAUGCUAUGCUAAAUACUAAUUUAGUUACCAACACAUAGUUUUACUUAUGUUAAGUAACCCUUAUAAAAAUUAACUAAUUAAAUCAAGGUUACAUUAUUAGAUUUUUUAUUUGCUAUUAUGAAAAUAUUAUAAGAUCCUAAGGCAGCAUUUCUUCUCAUUUACAGCUUUUAUUCUUGGUCCAGAGAAAACUAUCCCUUUCUUGAGACCUUCACAUCUUCUCACCAAACCUACUACCCUUUGCAUUCUUCAUACUUAUAAAACUUUUCACUGUAUGCUAAUAAUUUAAGGCUGACUGAAUGAUUGAUUAGAUAGUACAUUAGGGGUUAUUUCCAUUAAAGAUUAAGCAUUAGUUGGUUGAUCAAAAAUGGAACUACCACUUUGGAGAUUACUGAAAUCUUUAAGACCAAAUGCAAAAACAACAACAGAAAACUAUACAUAUAAACUGUAUUCUAGUUGAUAAAGUUAUCUUACGACUAUUUUAAUAACUUGAAAAUGAAAUACACAGAUAUAUGUGGUAUUAAGCAAAUGAGUAAGUGGAUGGUGGUGAUGAGAACCAUAUUUAUCACUGUUAGAGUAGGAUUUUACAGAUAAGGAGAGAAGAUGAGUUCCAUGAGUUAAUGGAUUUAGAUUUGGAGAAAUUGGUAUGAACUCAUGAAUAGUUCAAUAUAGAUACAAAUGGGAAUAUAUUAAAAUAUUUAUAGAUGGGCAUAUAUGCAUAAGUUUGUAUACUCACAUAUAUUUCCUUGCUGUUCCAGCUUACAGUCCCUAGAAGUACAGAUGCUCCAUUACCAAUGGGCACACCUAGUGCUCAGAUCUUGGUUUCUAAUACCAUUCUUUAUACAAGGAACCAGGAAUUCUUGGAAAAAUAGCUGAUUUUAGGACUGGGGCAGGAAAUACAUAAGAUGUGACUGGAAGAUCUUCUAGUGCUAAACGAUGUAAGAAAGGAAGCACUCAACAAAAACAUAAUGGUGUUAGACACAAAUGCCAACUAGAAUAACUUCCAAAGGAUAACAAAAUAAAGAAUACUGGAUUAUAACCCAAAGUAUAAAAUAGGUAACUAUGAUGCCAUAACUAAUAUAAAUAAAUGGUUGAAUUUAAAAAGGGAGAAUAGGCAGAUGUAUUCCAAAUGUAUAUGUAGAUACUCUGUGCUCAAGGAGAUAGAGGAUGGCUCCCUACUCCCUAAGUGUACACUUCACAUAUUGAUUUCUUUCCAAAAAGUGCUGACUGAGAGAGGGAAGAAACAGAACUUAGUAGUGGUGAAAACUGACUUUCAUGACCUCAACUAGAUGAUCCGGGUUGACAUCAAUAGAGAUAAAUUAUGUUGAUAAUAUACACCCUUCAUAUGAACUGAAAAGAAUGGCUCUUUAUUUCAAUUGUCUUCUUCCAAAGAAAAAAAAAAGCAUAAGCCCUGUCUAAUCAUAAGAAAAAUAUCAGAGAAAUCCCAAUAGAGUGCCAUCCUACAAAAUACUUAACGAGUACUCAUAAAACUAUCAAGGUCAUUGAAAACCAGAAAGGUCUGAGAAACUAUUACAGCUCAGGGGACCCUAGGGGGGGCAUGAUAACUAAAUGUAAUAGGGUAUCACAUAACAGGAAAAAAGACUUUAGGUAAAAACUACAGAAAUCUGAAAGAGUAUGUACUUUAACUUAUAAUAAUGUAGCAAUGUUGAUUCAUUAAUUAUGACAAACGUACCACACUAAAGUAAGAUGUUAGUAACAGGAUAAAUUCUGGGUGAAUAUAUGGGCAUUCUCUGUGCUAUCUUUACAAAUUAUCUGUAAGCAUGAUAUUAUUCUGAGAUUAAAAGUUUAUUUUGACAACAUCUACCUUAAAAUAAAAAUUUAAAAAAUUAACUUCCUUUUAUAAAACUAUUUCUAGAGACAAAUAAGUUUUGAUUUACAAAACUCCUAUUUACAGCCACUUUCCAAACAGGCAUUUGUAUGACAUUCAGAAUGGUUUAUUCCAUAACUUCUAAUAAACUAUAAACUCUUAAAAAAAAAAAGCUUACAAUCACCUUCACAGGGAGGAAAAA